UUCAUGGAGAGUUUGAUCCUGGCUCAGGACGAACGCUGGCGGCGUGCCUAAUACAUGCAAGUCGAGCGGACCGACGGGAGCUUGCUCCCUUAGGUCAGCGGCGGACGGGUGAGUAACACGUGGGUAACCUGCCUGUAAGACUGGGAUAACUCCGGGAAACCGGGGCUAAUACCGGAUGCUUGAUUGAACCGCAUGGUUCAAUCAUAAAAGGUGGCUUUUAGCUACCACUUACAGAUGGACCCGCGGCGCAUUAGCUAGUUGGUGAGGUAACGGCUCACCAAGGCGACGAUGCGUAGCCGACCUGAGAGGGUGAUCGGCCACACUGGGACUGAGACACGGCCCAGACUCCUACGGGAGGCAGCAGUAGGGAAUCUUCCGCAAUGGACGAAAGUCUGACGGAGCAACGCCGCGUGAGUGAUGAAGGUUUUCGGAUCGUAAAAACUCUGUUGUUAGGGAAGAACAAGUACCGUUCGAAUAGGGCGGUACCUUGACGGUACCUAACCAGAAAGCCACGGCUAACUACGUGCCAGCAGCCGCGGUAAUACGUAGGUGGCAAGCGUUGUCCGGAAUUAUUGGGCGUAAAGCGCGCGCAGGCGGUUUCUUAAGUCUGAUGUGAAAGCCCCCGGCUCAACCGGGGAGGGUCAUUGGAAACUGGGGAACUUGAGUGCAGAAGAGGAGAGUGGAAUUCCACGUGUAGCGGUGAAAUGCGUAGAGAUGUGGAGGAACACCAGUGGCGAAGGCGACUCUCUGGUCUGCAACUGACGCUGAGGCGCGAAAGCGUGGGGAGCGAACAGGAUUAGAUACCCUGGUAGUCCACGCCGUAAACGAUGAGUGCUAAGUGUUAGAGGGUUUCCGCCCUUUAGUGCUGCAGCAAACGCAUUAAGCACUCCGCCUGGGGAGUACGGUCGCAAGACUGAAACUCAAAGGAAUUGACGGGGGCCCGCACAAGCGGUGGAGCAUGUGGUUUAAUUCGAAGCAACGCGAAGAACCUUACCAGGUCUUGACAUCCUUUGACAACCCUAGAGAUAGGGCUUCCCCUUCGGGGGCAGAGUGACAGGUGGUGCAUGGUUGUCGUCAGCUCGUGUCGUGAGAUGUUGGGUUAAGUCCCGCAACGAGCGCAACCCUUGAUCUUAGUUGCCAGCAUUCAGUUGGGCACUCUAAGGUGACUGCCGGUGACAAACCGGAGGAAGGUGGGGAUGACGUCAAAUCAUCAUGCCCCUUAUGACCUGGGCUACACACGUGCUACAAUGGGCAGAACAAAGGGCAGCGAAGCCGCGAGGCUAAGCCAAUCCCACAAAUCUGUUCUCAGUUCGGAUCGCAGUCUGCAACUCGACUGCGUGAAGCUGGAAUCGCUAGUAAUCGCGGAUCAGCAUGCCGCGGUGAAUACGUUCCCGGGCCUUGUACACACCGCCCGUCACACCACGAGAGUUUGUAACACCCGAAGUCGGUGAGGUAACCUUUUGGAGCCAGCCGCCGAAGGUGGGACAGAUGAUUGGGGUGAAGUCGUAACAAGGUAGCCGUAUCGGAAGGUGCGGCUGGAUCACCUCCUUU
rnacentral:rRNA from 1 species